rnacentral:rRNA from 1 species
GCAGUCGAGGGGCAGCGGGGAGGUAGCAAUACAUUCUGCCGGCGACCGGCGCAUGGGUGAGUAACACGUAUGGAACCUGCCCGUAGCAGGGGGAUAAGCGGAAGAAAUUCCGUCUAAUACCGCGUAAUAACUCCGAGAGGCAUCUCAUGGGGUUUAAAGGGUGACACCGGCUACGGAUGGCCAUGCGGCGCAUUAGCUAGUUGGCGGGGUAACGGCCCACCAAGGCGACGAUGCGUAGGGGUUCUGAGAGGAAGGUCCCCCACACUGGUACUGAGACACGGACCAGACUCCUACGGGAGGCAGCAGUGAGGAAUAUUGGUCAAUGGGCGCGAGCCUGAACCAGCCAAGUCGCGUGAGGGAAGACGGUCCUAUGGAUUGUAAACCUCUUUUGUCGGGGAGCAAAAGACGCCACGUGUGGCGUUCCGAGAGUACCCGAAGAAAAAGCAUCGGCUAACUCCGUGCCAGCAGCCGCGGUAAUACGGAGGAUGCGAGCGUUAUCCGGAUUUAUUGGGUUUAAAGGGUGCGCAGGCGGAAGAUCAAGUCAGCGGUAAAAUUGAGAGGCUCAACCUCUUCGAGCCGUUGAAACUGGUUUUCUUGAGUGAGCGAGAAGUAUGCGGAAUGCGUGGUGUAGCGGUGAAAUGCAUAGAUAUCACGCAGAACUCCGAUUGCGAAGGCAGCAUACCGGCGCUCAACUGACGCUCAUGCACGAAAGUGUGGGUAUCGAACAGGAUUAGAUACCCUGGUAGUCCACACAGUAAACGAUGAAUACUAAUUGUUCGGGGAGAAUGAUCCCUGAGUGAUACAGCGAAAGCGUUAAGUAUUCCACCUGGGGAGUACGCCGGCAACGGUGAAACU